UACGUAGGGGGCGAGCGUUGUCCGGAUUUACUGGGCGUAAAGGGUGAGUAGGCGGUUAUGUAUGUCAGAUGUAAAAGGCACAGGCUUAACUUGUGUUAGCAUUUGAAACUGCAUAACUUGAGUGCAGGAGAGGUAAGUGGAAUUCCAGGUGUAGCGGUGAAAUGCGUAGAUAUUAGGAGGAACACCAGUGGCGAAGGCGACUUACUGGACUGUAACUGACGCUGAGGCGCGAAAGCGUGGGGAGCAAACA
rnacentral:rRNA from 1 species